rnacentral:tRNA from 1 species
GUGGUGGCUUAGUGGUAGAGUGCUCGCCUAGCAUGCAUGAGGCACCGGGUUUGAUCCUCAGCACCACA